rnacentral:rRNA from 1 species
UACGGAGGGAGCGAGCGUUGUUCGGAAUUACUGGGCGUAAAGGGUGCGCAGGCGGCUUGAUAAGUUGGAAGUGAAAUCCCCGGGCUUAACCCGGGAACUGCAUUCAAAACUGACAAGCUAGAGUAUGGUAGAGGGUGGUGGAAUUUCCCUGUGUAGCGGUGAAAUGCGUAGAUAUAGGAAGGAACACCAGUGGCGAAGGCGACCACCUGGACUGAUACUGACACUGAGGUGCGAAUGCUGGGGAGC